UUCAAGUUUUGGAUCUGGCCUGGAUAUUAACAAAAAGUUUAUUAAUCACUAAUUCAGAUUAUUCUGUCAGAUGUAAUUACUUAUUUAUUCACAUUGUUUUGAAUUAACCUUGCAUUAAUCUCAUAGCUUCAAGAUUUCAAUGAUGUGAUUGUUUAUUUUUUUAGAAAGACAUUGUAGGGUUGGUGUGAGAGGCCAGAUCUGGCCUGUUUGAACAUAAACCAGGAAGAAUAUUUGGGCUGGAUAUGGCCAGUUUAAAUGCUAAAGGGUUAACCUAGCAUAAACAGGCGUCUUUUAUUGCUGAUCUCCAUGUGAAACAGAGUCUUCCUGAACCUUAUGAAAGGCCACUUUUGACGGUAAAUAAUUGCACCUAGCGGCUGAGAUGAAUUGCAGAAUGUUGAGGCAGCUGCGCAUUGUUUCUCCGUCCUCACUACAGCCAGGCGGUUAAGACAGAUGACUAAUAGUCGACAGGAAUCUUCGUCGCCACGAAUAUAAUACAAUCGUUUCCAGUUACGAUGGCUCAGCUACAGAUUGCUGUAUUUGUAAACUUGUCGCAAAAUUCAAGUAGUCUAUCUCUCCCAGUGUGUAAUUAUUGUUGUUUUUAUUUGUAAAAGACCAACACAAAACUCUAUGUUCAAUAAUAAACUCUUAUGUUAAUUGUU